AACGAACGCUGGCGGCAUGCCUAACACAUGCAAGUCGAACGAGACCUUCGGGUCUAGUGGCGCACGGGUGCGUAGCGCGAGGGAACAUGGCCUAAGGGUCGGGAUAAACGCCCGAAAGGGGUGCUAAUACCGGGGAAAGUACUCGGACCAAAGGUUUAACGCCUUAGUAGGUUACCGAGUUGGAUUAGAUGGUUGGUAUGGUAAACAUAUACCAAGGCGUGGAUCCGUAGCUGGUCUGAGAGGAAGAUCAGACACACUUGGACUGAGACACGGCACAGACUCCUACGCGAAGCAGCAGUGUGUAAUAUUGGACAAUGGGGUAAAUCCUGAUCCAGCUAUGCCGCGUGAGUGAUGAAGUCCUUAGGGUUGUAAAGCGCUUGUACCCGUUAUGAUAAUGACAGUACCGGGAGAAUAAGCCCCGGCUAACUCCGUG
rnacentral:rRNA from 1 species